AGGCAGAGUAUCACAUUCACCAUGGCACCUGGAUCACAGCUCAUCAGGAAUAUGGCAGAAGCAUAGCAGAAGAGGUCCUGCAAAAAAGUGCCAGUAACCCUAGUCUGAAGCAACUGCCAGAACCCUCAGACACCCAUUUAAUGCCAGAAGGUUCUCUUGAGGAGACAAGGCAGCUGACAGUGGCACUGGUGAGGAAACUGGAAGAGAAACAUCCUAAGGCUUCUGCUCAGAGAUGGGCCAUAAAGCAUGAAGGGACCAGUAAGCCAUGCCAGUGGAAACAUUCCAGAGUUGAAAAUCCUUUAUGGAACAAGCUUACCUACAUGUGGCCAGUCCU